GAUGAACGCUGGCGGCAUGCCUAAUACAUGCAAGUCGAACGAGAGGAAGGAAAGCUUGCUUUUCUGAACCUAGUGGCGAACGGGUGAGUAACACGUAGGUAACCUGCCCAUGUGCCCGGGAUAACUUCUGAAAACGGAUGCUAAAACCGGAUAGGUAGCAGACAAGCAUUUGACUGCUAUUAAAGUGGCUAAGGCCAUGAACAUGGAUGGACCUGCGGUGCAUUAGCUAGUUGGUGAGGUAACGGCCCACCAAGGCGACGAUGCAUAGCCGGCCUGAGAGGGCGGACGGCCACAUUGGGACUGAGACACGGCCCAAACUCCUACGGGAGGCAGCAGUAGGGAAUUCUCGUCAAUGGGGGGAACCUUGAACGAGCAAUGCCGCGUGAGUGAAGAAGGUCUUCGGAUCGUAAAGCUCUGUUGUAAGAGAAAAACGACAUUCAUAGGGAAUGGUGAGUGAGUGAUGGUAUCUUACCAGAAAGUCACGGCUAACUACGUGCCAGCAGCCGCCGUAA
rnacentral:rRNA from 1 species